rnacentral:rRNA from 1 species
UACGAAGGGGGCUAGCGUUGUUCGGAUUUACUGGGCGUAAAGCGCACGUAGGCGGAUCGAUCAGUCAGGGGUGAAAUCCCAGAGCUCAACUCUGGAACUGCCUUUGAUACUGUCGAUCUGGAGUAUGGAAGAGGUGAGUGGAAUUCCGAGUGUAGAGGUGAAAAUUCGUAGAUAUUCGGAGGAACACCAGUGGCGAAGGCGGCUCACUGGUCCAUUACUGACGCUGAGGUGCGAAAGCGUGGGGGAGGCAAAACAAGGAU